rnacentral:rRNA from 1 species
UACGUAGGUGGCGAGCGUUGUCCGGAUUUACUGGGCGUAAAGGGCUUGUAGGCGGUCCGUUAAGUCCGAUGUGAAAUCUCCCGGCUCAACUGGGAGAGGUCAUUGGAUACUGGCGGACUAGAGGGGGGUAGAGGAAAGCAGAAUUCCUGGUGUAGCGGUGAAAUGCGUAGAUAUCAGGAGGAACACCAAUUGCGAAGGCAGCUCGCUGGGACGUUACUGACGCUGAGACGCGAAAGCGUGGGGAGCAAACAGG